AUGUCGCUCACCGCGUCAUCCAGGUCACCCUCAGACGCAUCGCUGGCGUCGCUAUCACCAUCACCGACGUCUCUGUCAUCGUCACCGGCAUCGUCACCACCAUCGCCGACGCCACCCUCGCCAUCGUCCACCACGUCGGCUCCAUUUGCAGCGACCACCACCGCGUCAUCCUCAGAGGUGAAGGUCGUGACUAGGGCAUCCACAUUGUCCUCAACCCAGUGCGCCAGGUCAUCCCGGAUGGCCUGGGCACUGGAGAAAUGGCGGCAUCGAAGUCAAAGUUGCGGUAGGUGUUCUGGAGAUGCCUGA
rnacentral:rRNA from 1 species